CCUCAUCGAUUGACGUUACCCGCAGAAGAAGCACCGGCUAACUCCGUGCCAGCAGCCGCGGUAAUACGGAGGGUGCAAGCGUUAAUCGGAAUUACUGGGCGUAAAGCGCACGCAGGCGGUCUGUCAAGUCGGAUGUGAAAUCCCCGGGCUUAACCUGGGAACUGCAUUCGAAACUGGCAGGCUAGAGUCUUGUAGAGGGGGGUAGAAUUCCAGGUGUAGCGGUGAAAUGCGUAGAGAUCUGGAGGAAUACCGGUGGCGAAGGCGGCCCCCUGGACAAAGACUGACGCUCAGGUGCGAAAGC
rnacentral:rRNA from 1 species